GACGAACGCUGGCGGCGCGCUUAACACAUGCAAGUCGAACGGAAAGGCCUGCUUUCCCUUGUGGAUUGCGGGUACUCGAGUGGCGAACGGGUGAGUAACACGUGAGUGAUCUUCCCCCAACUUGGGUAUAAGCCUGGGAAACUGGGUCUAAUUCCCGAUAGGACUGCAGGGUGGUGCCUGUGGUGGAAAACGAUUUUCUAGUGGUUGGGGAUGAGCUCGCGGCCUAUCAGCUUGUUGGUGGGGUAAUGGCCUACCAAGGCGGCGACGGGUAGCCGGCCUGAGAGGGUGGACGGCCACAUUGGGACUGAGAUACGGCCCAGACUCCUACGGGAGGCAGCAGUGGGGAAUAUUGCACAAUGGGCGGAAGCCUGAUGCAGCGACGCCGCGUGGGGGAUGACGGCCUUCGGGUUGUAAACUCCUUUCGACCGCGAGGAAGCCACCUGGUUGGAAGGGUGGUGACGGUAGUGGUAGAAGAAGCACCGGCUAACUACGUG
rnacentral:rRNA from 1 species